UACGGUGGGAGCAAGCGUUACUCGGAAUUAUUGGGCGUAAAGGGCGCGUAGGCGAUUUGAAAAGUCUUGUGUGAAAGCCCGGGGCUCAACCCCGGGAGGCGGGUGGAUACUGUCAAGCUCGAGUCCGGAAGAGGCGAGUGGAAUUCCUGGUGUAGCGGUGAAAUGCGCAGAUAUCAGGAGGAACACCAAUGGCGAAGGCAGCUCGCUGGGACGUGACUGACGCUGAGACGCGAAAGCGUGGGGAGCAAACAGG
rnacentral:rRNA from 1 species